rnacentral:lncRNA from 1 species
CGAAGAGAGAGAGGGAGAGAAAGGAGGGAUGAGAGAGAUAAAAAGAUGAGGGUCAAAUAGAGAGAAGGAAGAUAGAGAGCAUUGAGUGAGGGGAGAAGAGAGAGGGAGGGGGGCUAGCUGUAGAAAGUUGGGUAGAGAGAGGAGGGUUGAAUAGAGAGAGAAGGAAGAGAGAGAGAGAGGAUCUGAUGCGGAGAAAGAGAGAUUAGCUGGAGAGGGGGGAAAAGAGAGAGUAACUGGAGAGGG